UACGGGGGGGGCAAGCGUUGUUCGGAAUUACUGGGCGUAAAGGGCUCGUAGGCGGCCAACUAAGUCAGACGUGAAAUCCCUCGGCUUAACCGGGGAACUGCGUCUGAUACUGGAUGGCUUGAGUUCGGGAGAGGGAUGGCGGAAUUCCAGGUGUAGCGGUGAAAUGCGUAGAUAUCUGGAGGAACACCGGUGGCGAAGGCGGCGAUCCUGGACCGAUACUGACGCUGAGGAGCGAAAGCCAGGGGAGCAAACGGG
rnacentral:rRNA from 1 species